UACGAAGGGGGCUAGCGUUGCUCGGAAUUACUGGGCGUAAAGGGCGCGUAGGCGGAUAGUUUUAGUCAGAGGUAAAAGCCCAGGGCUCAACCUUGGAACUGCCUUUGAUACUGGCUAUCUUGAGUACGGGAGAGGUGUGUGGAACUCCGAGUGUAGAGGUGAAAUUCGUAGAUAUUCGGAAGAACACCAGUGGCGAAGGCGACACACUGGCCCGUUACUGACGCUGAGGCGCGAAAGCGUGGGGAGCAAACAGG
rnacentral:rRNA from 1 species